CUUCACCUCCCAUUGUCUCUGUCUCUCUCUUUCUCCUCUGCUUCCCCUCACCCCACAACCAAAGUCAAGAGCGCAGACCCCAUGAUCACCUGAUACUUCCAAGCAAGCAGGUGUUCUUUUCAGAAGCCAGAAGCUGAUAACCUGGGCUUUCUGAUCUAACCCCAGCCCAAAUUCAUUGCAAUGGAGGAAUUGGGGAGGAGAUUCUUCCUACUGAGAAGUGGGUGCCAACUCUCCCUUUCAAAUUUGUUCAUCAACAAACUAAAGGGGAUGCCAGAAAUGUCUGGAGCAAUGGAAGAACCACUGGAAUAAUGCUCCUGCCUGAUUGUAUCUACUUAACCCACUCUCCAAGAGCCAGAAUCAGAUUUCAACCGUAUGGAAUCAUCUACAAUGCAGCAGAUGGGUUUACAAGUCUCUUGGUCUCUUCAUGAAGAAGGCGCAGCAAUCGUGUCCCAAGUCCUUGAGGACUUCACAGGGUGUUCUAGUGUCCUGAGAAUAUACCUGCCUAAGGGCGUAUCUGUUAGGGAGACUCCCAUGAGGGAGGGGAGCCGAGGGAAGAGGCUGAGUGAGGUGAAGAGAGUGUGUUUGUCCCUCCAGCUGUGCCAGGGUCUUCUCAGCCCUUCUCACAGAGGGCUGUCUGUGGACCUCUGUUCCUGGAAUCACCCCUCUGCACCACCCAAACUCCCUGAUUAUGAAUUACACAAUACAUCCCUAAUUCAAGCAUGCUGCACCGGUUUUCUGUAGUCACAUGAAAAUUAACUUACAGAAAUUCACUUUUAUUGAAUACCUACUGUGUGGUAGGCACUGUGGUGGGAUUCUGCCAUUCGAGAAUCUCAGACUAAGAUCAUCUGUUUCAACAAGCAUCGAUCAAGCACCCACAUUGCAGCUGGCACUCUGCUUGAUGGUGAGAUGAGUGUCAAGACCAGUUCCUUAUUUUACAGGGAAGGCCAUCAAGGUUGAAAGUGGAAAUUUCCCAAGGUCAGAGACAGAGUGGUAGAGCCAGUCCAUGCAUUCUGGUCUCCUGUCUCCUGUUCCAGUGCUCAUUCGUGACACUGCUGCUCUCCCUAACACUUCAUCCCACGAGAAUACUCUUGAGAAUAUUGUUCUUGGCUGUUCCAAAUAGAAAGAUCAUCUGUCCAUU
rnacentral:lncRNA from 1 species